UUAUUUUAUUUCGAUAUUUCGUUACAUACUUUGACUGGUGUUAAUAAAAUGAGCCGCAAGACUAACGAAAAGACAAGCUUCUCGAUAAUCCCGCCGAAUAAUGCACAGAGUAAGAAAAUGGAGGUCGGACCUUGCUGUUUUACGGCAAACGUCCUAAAUUCAUUAAUGAUCCUUCCGCAGGUUCACCUACGGAAA
rnacentral:misc_RNA from 1 species